rnacentral:rRNA from 1 species
AUUGAACGCUGGCGGCAUGCCUUACACAUGCAAGUCGAACGGCAGCACGGGGGCAACCCUGGUGGCGAGUGGCGAACGGGUGAGUAAUACAUCGGAACGUGUCCUGGAGUGGGGGAUAGCCCGGCGAAAGCCGGAUUAAUACCGCAUACGCUCUAUGGAGGAAAGCGGGGGAUCUUCGGACCUCGCGCUCAAGGGGCGGCCGAUGGCGGAUUAGCUAGUUGGUAGGGUAAAGGCCUACCAAGGCGACGAUCCGUAGCUGGUCUGAGAGGACGACCAGCCACACUGGGACUGAGACACGGCCCAGACUCCUACGGGAGGCAGCAGUGGGGAAUUUUGGACAAUGGGGGCAACCCUGAUCCAGCAAUGCCGCGUGUGUGAAGAAGGCCUUCGGGUUGUAAAGCACUUUUGUCCGGAAAGAAAUCCUCUGGGUUAAUACCUCGGGGGGAUGACGGUACCGGAAGAAU